ensembl:lncRNA
CACAGUGGGCUGGCUGGGCGCUCAGGUCACCUUCGAGUGGAACCGCCAAUGCCCGGCUCCUGUCCCUCUGCCCCGGCAUGACCGUGUAGGUGCUGUGUUGCCAGACCUUUUGAUUGCUCAGUCGCUCAGGAAGACAGAAGUGCAGGCCUGUGUUUCUGUUUUUGUGAAGUAUUCUGAUUUGUGAAUGUUGACAACUAAUUCAGUUUUUAGAAAAACGCCAUAAGGAUCAAUUAAAGCCCACUCAUGGGGCUAUUCUACCUGUAAGCAUUCUGAAUGCAAACUUUUAGUUAAGUCGAAGACUUCUUCAGACUCAAUUUUGAGUUUUAUUGGUUUACCAAAUGUGUGAUCUAAUACCAUAAUGCUUACUUUUGCCCAGGUCCUGUGAAGCUGAUGGAAGCAGGCAUCCGUACCAGAGGGAAAAAUAGUGGAAAAGUGACUUUCCUGGUGUGGCUUUUCCUCGCAUCAGCGUGGUUUGACCUGAGAACUCGAUUGGUGCUUUGAUUCUGAUUCAGCCAGAGUGAGCCCUAUCCAUGACUCAAGCCACUUCACUGAGUUUGACGAUGGGGUUUGGGGCCAAAAUGCCAGCCACAGCACCACUUCACCUCCAGUGAUAACUUCCCUCACACUGGAAUACACAAAGGCUGCAGAGGUUCCAAAGAGAUCACGUGCUACGCGAGGAUCUGACAAGAUGGCGUGGUUCUGGAAUGAGCAGCAUGAGAGGAUGGGUAUCUCCGGUUUUCUGCCUGGCUCAGUGUUUCUCCAACCUGGCUGUGCAUGAGAAUAACCCAAGGAGUUUAUGGGAAAGAUCCCCGCUUGGACUCCAUCCCAGGUGUAUUAGUUUGCUCCGGUUGCCAUAACAAAAUACCACACACUGGGUGACUUAAACAAUAGCAAUUUAUUUACUCAUAGUUCUGGAGGCUAGAAGUCCAAGAUCAAGGUGCUGUCAGGGUUGGUUCCUGGUGCAGCCUCUUCUAGGGUUUGCAGAUGGCCACCUUCCUCCUCAUGACCCCACAUGGCCUUUUCUCUGUGCAUGUACUGGGAGAGGGCUCCAGAGAGCUCUGGUGUCUCUCUUCUUAUAAGGACACCAGUCCUAUCAGAUGAGGGCUCCACUCUAUGACCAUCUAGCCUUAAUUACCCCCUUAAAGGCCUUAUCUCCAAAUACAGUCACAUUGCAGGUUAGGGCUUCAACAUAUGAAUUUGCAGGGGAACACAGUUCAGUCCUGUGAUACUGUGAUUUAUAAUAAGAAAUAUAGAUUUGGUCUUCACUCACUGUUCCUGGCACACGGUUUCCAAAACCUUUGUGAAGAGCCAUAGAGGCAUCUUUUGUUACAUUAUGAAGUUUCCAUCUCAGUUCUUGAAAUAGCUUCAGCACUUAAAGGUGAAAUGGGUGUCUUUUGUUAUUCAUAACAAGCCCCUUUCAACUACACUGAGUUUAUGUUAAUGAGGUGAAUUUGGAAAGCCUCUAAGGAGGGGGGCUGGUUGCCAGGGGAGCCAACCACAAUUAGAGGGUUGGAAUUUCUAGUCUCACAUCCCAGGCCCCCACCCCCAUCUCUGGGAAGGGGAGAGGGGCUGGAGAUUGAGUUCAGUCACCAAUGACCUAUACACCAAUGUAACACAGCUAUGUAAUGAGCCCUCUAUAAAAACCCAAAAGGAUGGGGUUUGGAGAGCUUCCAGGUUGAUAAACAAGUAUGCAUCCACGUGCUGGGAGGGUGGCACACCCUGAACUCCACUGGGACAGAAGCUCCUGUGCUCAGGACCCUUCCAGACCUCACCCUAUGUAUCUCUCCAUCUGAUUGUAUCCUUUAAUGCCCUUUGUAAUAAACUUGUAAUCAAGUGAGUUAACUGGUUUCCUGACUUCUGUGAGCCAUGCUAGCAAAUUAAUCAAACCAGAGGAGGGGAGCCUGGGAAGCUCGGAUUUCUAGCUAGCCUGUCAGAAGCACAGGUAACAACCUUAACCUGCAACUGGUGCCUCAAGUCGGGGAGAGAGUCUUGUGGGACUGAACCCUUAAC